CUGAGGACCUUCCAGAGAUUAUUUUGUAGCCAAUCAGAGAGCGCCCCUUGACAUGACGUCAUUUUCCCGCGGACGCUAGGCUCUAGCACUUUUCCAUUCAUUUUCCCGCUCAUUUCUGAUAAUUCUGGCUUCUACGCCUGCGUUGAGUCCAGUUCAAAGGUUAAAUUACGUCAUAUCCGCCUUAGGAACAUUCUAGAACACAAAGGAAGCCUGAUUGUACGCAUUAUUUGCUGCACGAACCCGUCAGAAAGCGCGCUUCUCGACCGAAAUGGCAGAUAAAUCUCCAGGUUAAAAAUAGCGGGCGACCUUAUUGAGGGAUUCUCAAGAAAUUACAAGUUGUAUCAACAUUGCACGGAUGACCGGGAGUGUGUGCUGCACUGCAACAGCUGCUACAAGUGUUGCUACAAGUGAUGUUUCUUCACUGUAGUAUUUUGUUUUGGUUUGUAUAGUAUUUGGAUUUGUAAUGUAAGUACAUUAUCAUGAAAUGACACAUUGAUUAUAUACUUACCUUGCUUGAUAGUUGAUACCAUCUUCAGCGGAUGAGAAGACUAGUACUGGCUGAGGAAUCCCGGUCUCCAAUCUAGCUUAAAUAUGAUGUACUUCAUGUUCGAUUCUCACACUGCUAUGAGAAAGUCUACAUUUGAA